CACGUAGGGUGCGAGCGUUGUCCGGAAUUAUUGGGCGUAAAGAGCUCGUAGGCGGUGUGUCGCGUCGGCCGUGAAAACCUGUGGCUUAACUGCGGGCUUGCGGUCGAUACGGGCAUCACUGGAGUUCGGCAGGGGAGACUGGAAUUCCUGGUGUAGCGGUGGAAUGCGCAGAUAUCAGGAGGAACACCGGUGGUGAAGGCGGGUCUCUGGGCAGUAACUGACGCUGAGGAGCGAAAGCGUGGGGAGCGAACAGG
rnacentral:rRNA from 1 species